GGGGAUUGCAAUGGGCGCAAGCCUGAUGCAGCGACGGCCGCGUGAGGGAUGACGGCCUUCGGGUUGUAAACCUCUUUUCGCCAGGGACGAAGCGCAUGUGACGGUACCUGUCAUAAGAAGGACCGGCCAACUACAUGCCAGCAGCCGCGGUAAUACGUAAGGUCCGAGCGUUGUCCGGAAUUACUGGGCGUAAAGAGCUCGUACGUGGUUUGUCGCGUUGUUCGUGAAAACUCACAACUCAAUUGUGGACCUGCGGGCUAUACCGGCAAACUGCAUUACUGCAGGGGAGACUGGAAUUCCUGGUGUAGCGUUGAAAUGCGCAGAUAUCAGGAGGAACACCGGUGGCGAAGGCGGGUCUCUGGGCAGUAACUGACCCUGAGGACCAAAAGCGUGGGGAGCGAACAGGAUUAGAUACCCUGGUAGUCCACACCUUAAACGGUGGGUACUAGGUGUGGGUUUCCUUCCUUGGAAUCCGUGCCCUAGCUAACGCAUUAAGUACCCCGCCUGGGGAGUACGGCCGCCAGGCUAAAACUCACAGAAAUUUACGGCUCAAAGGAAUUGACGGA
rnacentral:rRNA from 1 species